rnacentral:rRNA from 1 species
UGGGGAAUAUUGGACAAUGGGGGCAACCCUGAUCCAGCAAUGCCGCGUGUGUGAAGAAGGCCUGCGGGUUGUAAAGCACUUUUGGCAGGGAUGAAAAGCACUGGAUUAAUAACCCAGUGUGUUGACCUAACCUGCAGAAGAAGCACCGGCUAACUCUGUGCCAGCAGCCGCGGUAAUACAGGGGGUGCGAGCGUUAAUCGGAAUUACUGGGCGUAAAGCGCGCGUAGGUGGUUUGUUAAGUUGGAUGUGAAAGCCCCGGGCUCAACCUGGGAACUGCAUCCAAAACUGGCAAGCUAGAGUACGGUAGAGGGUGGUGGAAUUCCUAGUGUAGAGGUGAAAUUCGUAGAUAUUAGGAAGAACACCGGUGGCGAAGGCGGCUCACUGGAUCGGUACUGACGCUGAGGUGCGAAAGCGUGGGGAGCAAACAGGAUUAGAUACCCUCGUAGUCCCUGAGCGGGCUGGCAAGGCGCAU